rnacentral:sRNA from 1 species
AUUGAGCCCGAGGACAUCCAUGCCAAGUGCGAACUGGCCUUUCUCCACACCAGCCACUGCCUGGCCAGCGGGGAAGUGAUGAUCAGCUCCCUGGGAGACGUCAAGGGCAAUGGCAAAGGGGGUUUUGUGCUGCUGGAUGGGGAGACGUUCGAGGUGAAGGGGACGUGGGAGAGACCUGGGGGUGCUGCACCGUCGGGCUAUGACUUCUGGUACCAGCCUCGACACAAUGUCAUGAUCAGCACUGAGUGGGCAGCUCCCAAUGUCUUACGAGAUGGCUUCAACCCCGCUGAUGUGGAGGCUGGUGAGAAUCCCCCCAUGGGCCAGCAGGAGCCUUGGGCCUAC